rnacentral:misc_RNA from 1 species
ACAGCUACAAGUACGACCUGCCGAACGCGCGCGACAUGCAAAAGAACAAAAAGGACAAAAAGUGAAUAACAUGGAUAUCUAAAGAGGCAGACGAUCAGUGAGAGAAAGUGCUGAAGGAACAGUCAAGUGAUUGUUAGGCUCUGGAAUAGACGGGACUGAGAAACCAGACAGUUUUAAUCAGUUGUAAUGUUUGGCGCUUGAUGCCAAUAAUUUAUUUCUGCAAAUUCUUGUUUUUUGUGUAUUUUUUAAAAAUCAUGUCUAUCAAUGUUCAACUUUAUAUUGAAUAUUUUUGAAUAUUUACACAAUGUAAUGUUUAUGUACGUUGUAUGUACGAAUAAAUCGGUCGUUUUUUCGGAAGCUAACUGGACUGGU